AGAGUUUGAUCAUGGCUCAGAUUGAACGCUGGCGGCAUGCUUUACACAUGCAAGUCGAACGGUAACGCGGGGGCAACCCUGGCGACGAGUGGCGAACGGGUGAGUAAUACAUCGGAACAUGUCCUGGAGUGGGGGAUAGCUCGGCGAAAGCCGGAUUAAUACCGCAUACGCUCUGAGGAGGAAAGCGGGGGACCUGGUAACGGGCCUCGCGCUGCGGGAGUGGCCGAUGUCGGAUUAGCUAGUUGGUGAGGUAAAGGCUCACCAAGGCGACGAUCCGUAGCUGGUCUGAGAGGAUGAUCAGCCACACUGGGACUGAGACACGGCCCAGACUCCUACGGGAGGCAGCAGUGGGGAAUUUUGGACAAUGGGGGCAACCCUGAUCCAGCCAUGCCGCGUGAGUGAAGAAGGCCUUCGGGUUGUAAAGCUCUUUCGGACGGAACGAAAUGGUUACGGAUAAUACCUGUGACUGAUGACGGUACUUAAGAAGAAGAC
rnacentral:rRNA from 1 species